rnacentral:miRNA from 1 species
AGAUCUACACUCUGAACUUCUACU